UACGUAGGGGGCAAGCGUUGUCCGGAUUUAUUGGGCGUAAAGAGCGUGUAGGCGGCUUGGUAGGUCCGCUGUGAAAACUCGAGGCUCAACCUCGAGAUGUCGGCGGAAACCACUUGGCUAGAGUCCGGAAGAGGAGAGUGGAAUUCCCGGUGUAGCGGUGAAAUGCGUAGAUAUCAGGAGGAACACCGGCGGUGUAAACGGCUUUCUGGACCAUAACUGACGCUGAGGCACGAAAGCGUGGGUAGCAAACAGG
rnacentral:rRNA from 1 species